ACUAAACCAAGAUCAUACUAGUAAAUGGAGAAGAGAUCUGAACCCACCUGCCCUGGCUUCAGAGUCUACAGGCUUGCUUAGCUGAGAUCAUCCACAGGAGAAGAGGGGACUGGUCAUCGGGGGUUGGCUGGAAUGAUGAUGCAGUGGAACUGGGGUGGGUUCGUGAUGCUAUGUACCCUUCUAUGCAGCACUCGUUAAGCAUUGUGCCAUGUGUACAACACUAGGCCAGGUGUUGCCCUCAAGCAGGAGCUCAGCAAAAAGGAGAAGUCAAAGAUGAUGGGGACCUCACCUUCAAGAUCUCAGAAUUUCGGAGAAUGUUUCACAGCCAUCCAAAGUAAUGCAAAAGCACUCCUUUUGAAUAAAGGCCAGGUGCGAUGGCUUAUGCUUGUAAUACCAGCACUUUGGGAGGCCAAGGCGAGUGGAUCACUCGAGUCCAGGAGUUUGAGACCAGCCUGGGCAACAUGGCAAAACCCUGUCUCUAUAAAUAAAUAAAUAAAUAAAAUUUACAGGC